rnacentral:rRNA from 1 species
UACACUCCUGCGGGAGGCAGCAGUGGGGAAUUUUGGACAAUGGGCGAAAGCCUGAUCCAGCAAUGCCGCGUGAGUGAAGAAGGCCUUCGGGUUGUAAAGCUCUUUUGUCAGGGAAGAAACGGUGAGAGCUAAUAUCUCUUGCUAAUGACGGUACCUGAAGAAUAAGCACCGGCUAACUACGUGCCAGCAGCCGCGGUAAUACGUAGGGUGCAAGCGUUAAUCGGAAUUACUGGGCGUAAAGCGUGCGCAGGCGGUUUUGUAAGUCUGAUGUGAAAUCCCCGGGCUCAACCUGGGAAUUGCAUUGGAGACUGCAAGGCUAGAAUCUGGCAGAGGGGGGUAGAAUUCCACGUGUAGCAGUGAAAUGCGUAGAUAUGUGGAGGAACACCGAUGGCGAAGGCAGCCCCCUGGGUCAAGAUUGACGCUCAUGCACGAAAGCGUGGGGAGCAAACAGGAUUAGAAACCCCAGUAGUCCCAUG